rnacentral:tRNA from 1 species
GGAGGGUUGGCCGAGUCUGGUAAGGCAGCGGUGUGCUAAACCGUGGUCGGGCCGAAACGCCCGCGCGAGUUCGAAUCUCGCCCCCUCCG